rnacentral:rRNA from 1 species
ACCCGCUGAACUUAAGCAUAUCAAUAAGCGGAGGAAAAGAAACUAACAAGGAUUCCCCUAGUAACUGCGAGUGAAGCGGGAAAAGCUCAAAUUUAAAAUCUGGUGGCCUUUGGUCAUCCGAGUUGUAAUUUAGAGAAGCGUCUUCCGCGCUGAACCGUGCACAAGUCUCCUGGAAUGGAGCGUCAUAGAGGGUGAGAAUCCCGUCUUUGGCACGGAACAUCAGGGCUUCUGUGAUGCGCUCUCGACGAGUCGAGUUGUUUGGGAAUGCAGCUCAAAAUGGGUGGUGAACUCCAUCUAAAGCUAAAUAUUGGCGAGAGACCGAUAGCGAACAAGUACCGUGAGGGAAAGAUGAAAAGCACUUUGGAAAGAGAGUGAAACAGUACGUGAAAUUGUUGAAAGGGAAACGCUUGAAGUCAGUCGCGUCGACCGAGACUCAGCCUUGCCUUGGCUUGGUGUACUUCUCGGCUUGACGGGUCAGCAUCAAUUUYGRUCCUCGGAUAAUGGCAAGGGAAAGGUAGCACCUUUUYAGGUGUGUUAUAGUCCUUCGUCGCAUACGGGGGUUGGGAUUGA